UCCCUUCUCCGGCUCCCGGGUUCCCUGCCUCCCGCGGGCGGCACGUGGGCCGCGGCCGCGCUGGGUUUUUACCCUUCUCCUUUUCUCCUUCAGCCUGAGCGCCGCGGCUCUGCCUCGCGGCCCGCUCGCCCCUCUGGGGAGGAAAAGCGCCGCUUAACCCUGGCGGCGCCGCUCCCGCUGCGCCCUGGGCUUUGGGUUUUAGACACCGGGUGCACCCCCGCCUCCGAGUGGGUCCCCAGCAGAGGAGGCACACGUUUUCCCCUUGGGGUGAAGGGAGCAAAGAUUGUUUUUGAAACAAACCGACCCUGCAGCCCUUGUGCUUGUGGCCUUUUUAGUAUCAGGAAGUGAGCGGAAGACCCAUUGCCAAACGUAGUGCUAACCGGGGACCCAAGUGGUGAGCGUUUUCUAAAGGCCAAGAGUCAAAGGGUCUCCAAGGAACGUGGGAGUAUUUGAAAAAGGAGGCAGUUCUCUCCUUUGGGCUGGCUGUUAAUAUAAAACUGUAAUUCUUAAGUCUAUGUAAGUAGCCACACCUACUGCGAGCAGUUGAAUGGGUUGAAUGUGUGAUGAAAAAAAUGCAUUUUUUGACUCCAGUGAACUGCGACUUUAGAUAAUGGUUAAUGCGAGCUCCUCUUACUUUGGAGGAGGAGGGCAUUUUAAACAUUGAAACCAGUUUCUUAAAGAGAGGCUGAGUAUCAGGACUCUGCCCAAAAGAUGCAGUAAGAGCCGAGGUGCUUCGGAAAAGCAGUGUUGACAAGAGUUCAGGAAAAGUCACUUGUGAGAAAUGGACAUUUUUAAUAGCGAAAUGAUGUGCUUUUGUGUAGAAACAGAGGAAGGGUGCACUUGAUCUGAGGAAACGGAGUUUGGCCGCCUCGUGUGUUCAGUGGUGAUUUACUUUACCUCAAAACGGUUAACACAGUAAAUGAAUCAAGACACCCCUCCCUUCCCAGUUCAUGAAAAGAAAUUGAAGUUUAAUCUGAUUAGAGAUGCUGACUAUAGAAGAUAAACCUCCCCAUAUCAUUGCAUUAUGUUCACAAGUGAGCGCAGCUAGAACAGUGAAAACUAUCCCCUCCAUUUUUUGUGGCCCUUUUAUUCAUGUUUCCAAAUGUGAGAGAUUUGAGUUGAAGUGGAAUGUUCAGUAAUGUUAUUUAUCUGCCCUGAUGUUCUGUACUAUCACUAUUCAUGGUAGCAUAAAUUGAAAACGAGAAUGUCAUGUUUAGUUUUUUCCAUGUUUUUAAUGCUGCUUUGCACAUUCAAUAUAGAAUAACUCUUUACCUACCUUUAAUUGUUAUAAUUUUGAUACGUAAGUAGAAAUACUGACAUUUCCUAAAAUUGGGCCAUUAAAAGCUUUUCCUUUUUUGAGAAAAAGAACUAGUGCCGUCCUUACUGUGGCUUGAUCAUAAUUAACGUAGUUGAAGGUUAGUUUGAUCGUAAUUAACACGGCUGUAGUCACUACAUUGAGGAAUAACAAGAGUUUCUUGAGAAUGGGAGAUUAAAGAGCACCUGGGUGGCACAGGUGUUUAAGCAUCUGCCUCUUGAUUUCAGCUCAGGUCAUGAUCUCACACAGUUUGUGGGUUCCAGCCCCGUGUUGGGCUCUGCGCUGAUGGUGUGGAGCCUGCUUGGGAUUCUCUUUCUCCUUGUCUCUGUCUUUCUCUCAAAGUUAAAUAGAUAAACUUUAAAAAUGAAAAAGUUAGGGCUGCCUGGGUGGCUCAGUCGGUUGGGCAUCUGACUUCGGCUCAGGUCAUGACCUCAUGGUUCGUGAGUUCAAGCCUGGCGUCGGGCUCUGGGCUGACAGCUCAGAGCCUGGAGCCUGUUUCAGAUUCUGUGUCUCCCUCUCUCUGCCCCUUCCCUGCUCAUGCUCUGUCUCUGUCUCAAAAAUAAACAUUAAAAAAAAAAAAAGGUUAAAAAAAAUCUUAAAGUGAAAAAGCAACUGCAUUUAGCAGUUAUGAUCAUCCAAAGAUGUAUUUAAAAGCUUGCUAAAGGAAUACGAAAAAGCCUGUCAAAUUAAUAUCUCAUUUCUUUAAUAUACUGAUCACUAUCUCUUUUUUAAGAGCUGGUAAUUUCCUUUAACAAAGAGUCAGUAGAUCUGUAUGGGUUUACUUUCUCAAAAAAAAAAAAACAAAAACAAAAACAAAAAAACCCCCUUCCAUUUAGAGCCAGGGGAAGAUAGUUGACAUUCAUGCUAUUGCUAUUAAUUCAUAGUAAAUUAGCAAAUGAAAAGAUCUGGUUCCUAAAAGUAGAAGUAAAGCAAAUUUAUCUUUUCUUGUUGAAGUUCCUAGUUUUGUUUUGUGCACCUAGUUUUGUUUUUUUGUUUGUUUUUAAAUACCUUGGGGGUUAGGAUGACUGGAGCCUAAUAACACAGUGACUCUGUGGAACUUGUGGCAGUAUUUCUUCCAGGUCUGUAUACAGAAUGGCAUCCUAAUGGCCUAAGUUCUCUGAUGUAUGCAGCUAAUUCACUUUUUUCUACUAUGCAUUUAGAACGAUUCUAGUUAUGUAUCAUUCUUGGGAAAUUGGAGAAAACGGUCAAAUUAUCUGUGCUUGGUAGUUCAGAUGAGGAACCCCAGUUGAGAGAGCCUGGAAGGGGAUCAGAGAAAUUACUUGCUUCUAUUGUAUGGUAGGAACAAAUCAGUAUGCCACUACCUUGAAUCCUAGUUAAGACAAGUGGAUGGAGCACACUUAUGCAGGAACACAUCUUUGUAGUGGCAUUUGAUUUCAUGAGAUUUUUGCUUCUAUUUCAGUGGAUAGGUUCAUCAGGGAGAUUUAAUAGAAGCAAGAUUUUCCUCAUCCUGGGAUUUAGGAAACCAGAUGAAUCUUACCUUCUUUUUAUGUUUUUUUCAGAUGAUGAACCUUAUUUUAAAAAUUAGACUUGAUUAUACUUCAUUUUGACUUAAUUUCUUUGUAUUAUGGUAUUAAUGUGUUUAUUCAGUUACAGGUUGUACAGAUGUUUGGGUGUAUAUAAAGUAAGGCCCUCUGAAAAUUGAGAAAAGGAAUAUUUCUGAAUUAGUGUGAAGUUUUGCUGUAAUUUUGUAAAACUUAUUUUAAUUGAUAUUUACAUUAUUAUUUCCUAAUAAGAAAAUACAGUGCUAAUAAGAUUCAAAAUUGUUACUCUCUUUUAGGAUGUCAUGUGAUUUAUGGAAAAGGAAAAUCUAAACGAGACAGAGUGCAAGCAGGGGAGGGGCAGAGAGAGAGGAAGACACAGAAUCAGAAGCAGGCUCCAGGCUCAGGCUGUCAGUACAGAGCCCAACGUGGGGCUCGAACCCAUGAACCGUGAGAUCAUGACCUGAGUUGAAGUUGGACACUCAACCAACUGAGCCCCCAGGAACCCCCCCUUUUUUUUUAAUUUUAGAGUGCAAGCAGGGGAGAGGGGGCAGAGGGAGGGAGAUAAAACACGCUCCACACUCAGUGCAGAGCCUGACAAAGAAGAGCUUGAUCCCUCGAUCCUGGGAUCAUGACCUGAGCCAAAAUCAAGGGUCGGGUGCUUAACUGGCUGAGCCAACCAGAUGCCCCAAAUUACUGUAAAUUUUGCUGACCAAAACAAUGCAUAUUUAUUAUCUCACGGUUUCUAUAGGUCAGGAAUCUGGGUUCAAUUUAGCGUGGUUCUUUUGCAAGACUGCAAUAAAGGUAUGCUAGGACUGGGUUGUUUUUUCAAGACUCGACUGGGAUAGCAUCUACUUUCAAGCCCCCUCUGGUUGGUAAAAUUGAUUUCCUCAUGGUUGCUAGGCUCAUGGCAGCUUGCUUCUUCAAAGCCAGCAAAGGAGAAAGUCUAGCAAGAUGAACUGGUGCUAUACUCUUACGUAAAUGCGUGCGUGUAAUCACACACAGCCCGUUGCUUUACUGCUUCCACUGGUUAGAAGUCAUAGGCCCUGCUCAGACUCAAGGGGAGGGAAUGACAGGUGUAAAUUUCAGAAGGCAGACAUCAUAUGUGACCAUCGUAAAGUGUAACCACCUUUGGGUAUAGACUUCGUUUGGCCAGUUAAAGAUGCAACUGUUCUAACUUUAUUUUUAAAUUCAUUUUUUAUUUACUUUAGAAAAGUUGUAAUAAUGUGGUAAAUGUUGCUUUAGUAAACAUAAUUUUUUUCUUUUUUCUUUUUAAGGGCUGGCAUUGUAGUUGUCAGGGGUACAAACCUGGCCUCUCUUGUGCUUGCUCAGGUCCCAGUUGAAUUUGAGAUUAUUAUAUAUUGUAACAAGUGCCAUAAUAAGACUAUUACAAAAUGCUUUGUAAGGUAUGUUGUCUCAGGUAAGGAAUACUUCACAGAGGAAGGUAACACCUGAACUGUAUUUUGAAAGGUUUAGAAGUUGUGUGCAGGGGAGACGCUAUAGACUAAAGAAUCCACAAAAGCCUUGGAUUUUGAUAGGGUACACUGAAAGGUUUGGAUUGUAGUGUGUAAGGAGGACUGAUGAGAGCAUGAAUCUGGAAAACUCGGUUUGGACCAUUUGUUGAAGGAUUUUAUAGUGCUGUGCCUUUGUUUUACCUAACCAACCAAGUUUUAAAGUAGCAACACUCCUAUCAUAGUUGAUAUGGAUGGCAACCUUCCCGAGUACUGCAGUGUGCAGUCUGUGACACUUUAUGACAUUGCUAAUCAUGAUUAAGUUGGUUGUUAGGAGGGGAGAGGUAGUAGGAAGAUAAGCUAGGAGGACUCUUGCUUUAAAUUUUUUUUAUUUCAGAGAGCGCAUGAACAGGCAAGGGGUGGGGGAGAGAGAGAAUCUUAAGCAGGCUCCUCACUCAGCUCGGAGCCCAACCCAGGACUCCAUCUCACUACCUGGGAUCAUGACCUGAGCUGAAAUCAAGAGUCGAAAGCUCAGCUGAGCCACCCGGGUGCCCCAGGCUAGGACUCUUUUAGACUAUAAUUGGUGGAAGAUGCCUAAAUUGAAAUUAUGGCAUUGGUGAAGGAGAGGAAAAGUUGGAUUUGAUUAGGAUUUCUAAGGUAGAACCGAUAGGAUUGAGAGCCUGGAUGCAUAAUGAUGUCAUUAACCAAUAUUAAAAAAGGAAAGAAGAAAUUUUAGGAAAUGAUUAGUUCUUUUAGGCCUGCUUAAAUUUUGCGUGGCUAUAGGAGUUCCAUUUAGAAGUAUCCUUUAAGCAGUUGGAACAUCACUAAUGUAGAACAUUACAAAAACUUGAGAAAUAAUCAGCAGAUUGUAAGUGAAGCCAAAAAAUGGACAAAAUUACUAUGGGAUGAAUAUAAAUUGAGGAGCAAGCAUGGAGGCCUGGGGAACAAGAAUUUUAAGAGACAAGCAGAGUAGGAGAACAGCCGUUAGAAUUGAACCCAUGGAAAAGAAGUUGAUUGAAAUAUUUUUUUAUUAUAAAAAUAAUAUUUAUUAGAAAAAAUCAGAAAAUACUGAAAAACACACAAAAGAAAUAGCAAAUCACUUGUAAUCUUGCCACCAGAAAUAACUAGAAUAAAAUGUUGAUGUCUACUUUUUCAUAUACAUGUUUUUGGAACAUUCAUUCUAUACUUUUCAUUUUAAACUUUUCUCACAUUCUAAUGUAAGAUUGUAAGGCUACACAUUUCCCUCUGAGAGUUGCUUUAGGUGAAUCCCGCAAAUUGUGAAGUGGUUUUACCUUAGAGUUAAAAAUAUUGCUUAAUUUCUCUUGUGAUUUCUUCUUUGAUAUAUGGGUUUGAUAUUCUUUGAUAACACCCUGUUUCCACUUCAUCAGUUUCUUCCAUCACUUUGAAUUUUUUAUAACGUGGUUUUUAAUGACUGCUCAGGGUUCCAAAAUGCAAUCCAUAAACAUUUAAUGAGAACCUAUUUUGCCAUUCACUGUCCUAGGGAUACAAAAGUGAAGAAAUAAAACACAUGUCCCUGCUUUCAGGUACCUUAUUUUCUACUCUAGGGAGACAGUAAGCAAGUAAAAACACAUAGUGUGUCAGAGGGUGUUGAAUGCAAUGGGGAAAAAUGGAGUGGGAAGGUGGAUAGAGAUUGUGGGGUGGAGGCUUGCCCCUGUUUUAAAUAAUGUUUUGGAGAUCACCUCGCUGACAAGGUUGACAUUCAAACCAAGGGGAGGGAGCAAGCCAUGAAGGAUCUCUAGGGGAAAAGCAUACCCAGGCAGAAGGAACAAUUUCUAGAAAGGCCCUGAGAAACGAAUGUACCUGAUGUGUCCUGGGAACAGCCGUGAAACCAGUAUAUUUGGAGUGCAGAGGGUUGUAGGUGAGAGCAGAGAGGGGUUGGGUAGGACAGAAUCCUAACAUGCCUCGUAACCACUGACCUGGUGUUUUGACUUUUGUUUUAGGGAGAGAUGGGGAGGCAUUUGAGAGUUUUUUGAGCAGAAGAUUGACAUAACUGGACUUGGGCUUAAAAAAAUUUUUUUAUGUUUAUUUUUGAGAGCGAGGACACGCACACACAGGGGAGAGGCAAAGAGAGAGGGAGACAGAAUCUGAAGCAGGCUCUGCGCUAACAGCAGCAAGAGUGACACAGGGCUUGAACUCAAACCAUGAGAUCAUGACCUGAGCUGAAGUCAGAUGCCUAAGCCUAACUGACUGGGUCCCCCAGUGCCCCCACCUCCUCAUACUUGGGCUUUAAAGGAUUACUCCGGCCACGAUGUGAGAGUGGAUGCUGGAGGGCAAGACUCAGGUAAGGAGUUAAAAAAAUCAGGGCAGCAGAUAACAGUGGCUUGGGCCAGGGUGGUAGUGCUGGAGGCGGUGUGGACUGGCCAGAUUCUUGAUGUCCUUCCUGUUCUUACCAACCAGAUGUGUGGAAGAGGGAGAGUGAGAGGGGAGCUGGGGUUUUAUACAGUUUGUUUGCAGUGGGCGCUGUCACCGUGUACUAUUGCUGUCAGAACCCUGACUCGCAAAUGUUUUAUGUUUCUCCAGUCACUUCUUAAAAAUUUAUCAGAGAUGUGGCAUUGUUUGAACCAAAGGUAUGCAUUUGUUCAAGGCAUUUGAUGUUUAUUGCUGAAUUGCCCUUUGGAAAGGGCCGCUUCUUCGAGCAAGGUAUAAUUUCAGGACUGUCUGAUUUUUUUUUUUUUUUUUUUUUUUCUCCCCAUGAAAACUCCAGUGAGGUUUUUUAAUACUUAAAGUGGAUUUUGAGUAAUAUCUGUCAGUCAUUAUUGUAUUCAGUGCCCGUUUUUUAAUAAUAAAUUUAGUGUAUCAAAAAAGAAUAAGUACAUUCCAUCAUUUGAAUUUAAUGAAUUCUGACAUCUUGUAUAUCCUAAUUUUUGUUUGAAUUCUGAUUAGUCUGUGAUAAUGUUUCAGUUCUAUUUGUAUACAUAUGAGCUGAGAAAAAUAAAGCAUAUACUGUGCAUAGUGAGUUAUUACAUGUAAUUCAUUUCAAAGAACCAGCUUUUGAUUUGAAUAAAUUUUACCACUUU